GUUUUAUAUCCUCAGUCAGAGGGAAGUUUAAAGGAAGAAUCUGAAACAACUGAAAUGAUUCAUCAGUAAGGAGAGGUUUCUAAUAUGAAUGUUCAGUGUGCUUAAGGCAACUUUAGGGAGCAUAAGUUUCAGCAGAAAGUUUUGUGCUUUGAUUUUUAUAGUUUUGAAUAUGUAUUUUAAAAAUUAUGUCUUUAUGAUGUAAGAAAACAUCCUCAGCUUCAUGUAAAUACUAAGCAUCAGUCAGAACUGACACAUAUUUUGAUAUAAUUCAAAUUGCAGGUGAACCAGAAAAAGGAGGAUGUAAGUAAACUAGCAAUACCACACUGCCACAAAGCACUGAGGGGAGGACGGUUGUUUACAUAUAAUGAAACCUCAUCCUGUCUGUUGGACCCUUCAUCCUGUCAGUCUACCAUUACUGUAAUACAGAAUACAUAUUAGAAGGAUUUGAGAGGAACCCACCAUUUGUUUUCUUCCAGUCACAAAACAGCCACCAGCAGAAGAGCUGGAUUCAGACGAUUGAAAGGGUAGGAAACAUAUUAUCAAUAUUCUAAGUGUGAACUGAUUUGAAAAAAUACAUCUCUCCGUAGACACUUCCUGAAAAUCUUAUGUGAACUAUUUUAUAAGAGCACACAGGUGCAAUGGCUUUGCCAGCUAGCCAAGAUCUUAAGAUUCAUGCUCUUUUUUUUUCUAUUAUCUCUGGUGUAUAGGAGACUGCUCUUAAGGCUAUUCUGUGCAGGAAGUGAUAAGUAUGUUCAUAAAGGUGUGGCUUAGCUCCCUAGCAAUUCCAUGGUUACAGGACUGUAGUAAACUAGCCUUAAGUAAAACAAACAAGCUUUGUGGAAAUCAAAAGCUGAGAAUGCAAGCUAUCUCUUUGAUUAAAGCAGCUAAUCUUUGAUUGUAGGUGGUGAGCUCCACCUUAUUUCCCUGCAUCCAGCAGUUUCACAGGGGCUGGAUGCAUUAUAUCUUUCAAUGCCUUCAAUGCUAGUGCAAAGGAAUGUUUUUAAAAGUCAUUUUCUUCAAGAUGCAAGAAAAAGAGGUUAAAUUUAUAUGGUCCCAAAAAUGUGAUUAAAGGGAAAAGCCUUGUAUCAUUUACUAAAAAUCUCAUCCUAUACAGAAUGGCUCAUCUGAAAGUGAGAGGUACAGAGCAGAACACAAUACUAAACAGAAUCUACAUCUUUUGUCAUGUUUGUCUUCCCAGGAAUAAAGAUGAAUAGCAUAAGCUUAGAUAUUACAGUGCAUAUAAGGAUUUAAUCUAUCUGGAAAAAAAAAAAAAAAUAAGUGGAGAGGUGAGGCCAAAACUGGCCUGUAAACUGUGGACAAAGAGGUUGGCCUUGUCUAUCUCCCCAUUCACAUAAAGCAAAACACUGGACAAAGAGAAGCAGCAGUUGAAUGACGGUAAGUCCAAAUUAUGUCCCAGACAUCUACUUUACACAGAGCAUUAUCAGUACGUUGACUCUACUCACUGCAUAGCUACUCGCAAGUUGUGCCAGGCAAUUUUCUCUUCUGUGUGCCCUAGGGCUCUUUCCCUUUUCCUUACCAUCAUACAAUUAUGUGUAAAAAAGACAAAAUCUUAAUGUAUUGUAACUGUCACACUGCGCUUGAAAUAGUUACUUGAGAAAACCAAAGAAAGACUGAACACAAGGUGAUAUUUCCUGUCAAACAAGGGUGUGCCACAUUAACAGAGGGCAGUGGAAAGGAGGUGUGGUAGUAUUGGCACUUAUAAAACAGCUCUGUCAGAGCAUUUUAUCACAACUCCAACAAAUUGGGAAGAGAAAGGGCAGAACUCAUUUCACCUGCAUGCCAUGUGCUUACUUAUUAUCUAUGUUUAUAAAGCAAUUGUGUGUUUAUUAAGUGAUAAAAUGAACUGACUUGCAUCAGAUGACAUCUUAAAUUAAGAAUUUCUACAGUGUGCUGAAGGGAAGAACAUAUUUAGUACUGUUGUUUACAUAUGUGUGCAUGGUAUGUAUCUAUAUAUUCUUGAAUGCAUUUACGUACUGCAAUAUGUAUAAUUGACAAUGUUUCUUAGAAAUUCACAUCACUCUAACGUCAACUUGAUAUAUUACUAAGGGCACUACUAUCUUACUUCCAUCAUUUGUUUUUCAUGGCACGUAGAAUCUGUGAUCAAGACAAAGGAACAAUGGUAUUUGCUUAUCCAUACUAAGAGGUUAAAAUGAACAGAUGGUUUGUAAAAUAGAAGCAAUGACAUUUACUUGAGUGAGAAUCUGAUGACUGUAUCUACAUAAAUAUAUAAUACAAUUCAGUAUUAACUAGGGUCUUCCAUGUAAGCAAUUGCAUCUAGAGAUACUGUAGAAGAAAAUGGGAUACCUGCAAAAACUGUAGUUGUCUUACUAAGUUGUAAGUGAUAGAGUAGAAGUAAAAUGGCAAAUUAAUUCUGCCAGUCUGUUAAUAACUAGUCAGGUAAGACUAAGACUGUGUACUUUCAAUACAAGACAGACAAAACCAAAAUACAAAAGUUGUGUAAGAGACUUGAUUUUCUGAAAAAUAUUGUUCCAUUCUUGAGAACGGAUCCGAUAGGAUGCACAAGUUUGAAAUCCCUGUGUCACUUCCUGAAUACGUAAUAAUUGGUGAUGGAGCUGAUUGGAACAAAAUAAUCUUAAUGAAGAUGAAAGCUCAAGAAACCACUGUAUGACAGGUGGCCUAUGGUGUCUAGUUUGGAUGUACAUAGUUGUAUUCAUCAGUAUAUUAUACAAAAUUCAUCAAUGAAUUAUCCUUAAAGCCUAAGUGCUUCAACAGCUGUUUAAGUUUUGCUUAAGUUUGGCAUUUAUGUUUUGCUUCUGUUUAUUCUUUGGCAAGAAACAGAUGUGCAUUAUCAUAUCUUCAUGUGGAAUAAGUUUAAUUAAACUAUAAUGAAGAAACAAAUAUCAGAGCAGCCGAGUUGAAUGGGAAUGAAACAUUAUAGGAACACACCCUCAUUUUUAUCAGUGUUUUAAGUCAGCUGAGGGCUUGUGGUACAAUUAAAUAAAAAGCCAAAGCUAUACACAUUACUAUUCUCUGCCAAGAUACUCUCAUGAGGCUGGUAUCAAGUUGUCAGUAAAGCCUGAGAAAGUGUAACUUGUAUUAAGUCAUCAUUAGUUGUGCAAUUUGGUCUGUUGUUUUUCACAGAGCCAUUUGAACUUCCAGUAUACAGUCUUUCAUAUGCACUUGCUGAUGAAUUCUUUCAUCACUGCUAUCUUGCAGAAUUGAUUAUCAACUCUGAGUAUGUGAGAGUAGUGUAUGGCAUGAUCUUCUGAUCAUACAUUUUGUAUGUUGUCGAAUUGUAUUUUAUGUUUGUGUGCAAGGUAAUUGGAGUUGAAAAUUCAUGUUUCAGAUAGCUUUGGCUGAUUUCAUGUUUCAGUGAAUUUCUGAGAACUUUCUUUACCUACAGUGUGAAGGUGUAUGUGUGAGGCAUGUGAUGGGUUGAGCAGGAUCAAUCCACUGAAGAAAGAAAUAUGAAAAAUCUCUCGUGAAAAGUUAAAGGAAUACUGCUUUUCCUGUCUUGCUUUUCUUGUAGCUGAAAGCCUCUGUGCUGGGUCUUUGAAAGUAAAGCAUGCAGUGCCCCAAAUAAAAUGUCUAAUGGAGACAUCCGGUCACUUAUUUCCUUUUAAGAGGAGCUAACCAUCUGAUCUUUUUGCAACAGAAUAUAAAGUUUAUCCUGUUGAACUUUAAGCAUAUGAAGACAUUUAAAAUGUUAUUGUUUAUAAAGAUGAUAGGAUUAUUUUGAUACAUUGCAUUUAAAUAGUAGUGAAUGAAAGUUAAUAUUUUGGCUUUUAGCUAUCACAGUUUUAGCUAUCAAUAUGUGCUUCUCUUCACUAAGUUGUGGUGGUGGUGUUGGUGGCAAGGAAGGUGGUGGUGGUUUUUUUGCAUUAUAGCUGAAGUGACAACUCACAUAAAAUCUUUUUUUUAACUGCUGUUUGCACUGUCACACUGACAGAUAUGUAAAGUGCUAUAUACAUACUUUCAGUGGCCAAAUAAAGAAUGUAUUAUCAGUAUGUGUCUUGAUCUAAGACAAAAUACUAAUUUUCCUAAUAAAUAAUAUUUUCUGCUGAAUUUUUCAUUUUCAUAUUGUACCCGAGACUAUCAAAAUGUUACUGAUUGCAAUGAGAAUUUAUUUGAGCAGAUUUUAGGGGCAAUAAAACGUUACAGAAAGUGAAUUUUCAGUCACAAGUAAGGCAGAUUGAAAGGUUAAGGAAGUACUUGCCUAUUCAUCUCAUUAGGUAACAGAAAUCCUAUCACAUGGCUUGUCUUUAAACCCUACUGCAGUUUAAAGAUCCUGUCUCAACUAGUUUCAGUGAAUUAUUUGAAAGAUCAGAUUGGCCAGUAGGAAAAUGUUUUCCUUCAGCAACAUAGUUGCAGUGCUGGAGCAGGUUAUUCCUGGAGGUUUGGAAUCAUUGUCCUUGGAGGUUUUCAGGAGUCACCUAGGCAAAGCAUUGAUAGGUUCAAUCUGGUGUUGGUGUAGUCCAGCUCUGACCACAGUGUUGGACAAGAGGACUUCCAGAAGUCCCUACCUGCUGACGUUUCAAUGAUUCUAAUUCCAGAAAAAUGAUUAACGAUUUAUUUGAAGGGGAACAUGAUUUCCAAUGAGACAAAAAUCUAAAUUUACUGUAUAAUUGUUCAAACUGGUAACCUUAGUGUAAGUCUGUAAUAAUAUUAAUGAAGGACAGUACCAUGCAUGUACAUUUGUUCCAUCCAUAAAUUUCAUAGAAAAAUAGAACUUUGACCUUCAACAGCCUGCAAUCUGCAGAAACUCAACUAAACAACAUACAUCUGUUCAUUGGAAUUGAGUGGGAGCUGAGUAUGAAUACUUUUGUAGGAUUAGGACACCGGGUUGAUUGUCAGCCCAUAAAGGAGAGAAGCUACGUAAAAUAAUAGGGAAAACAAUUUCAUUUUCAUUUAUGUAGCCUAGUCAUCAGUUUUACCUUUUAGUUUGAGUCUAAAGAAAUUAAAUUCCAGCUGGUGCAGGACUGUAAGUGAAUGCUUUCGGUAUGGCUUGGUGAGACUAAUAUCUGCAGGGUACCAAUCCAUCAGAAACCACUUUUCUGGCGCAAUUUUGCAUAUUACCAAGCUUUUAUGAUUAUCCCAAUGGGAAUUAUUUUGAGGCAUCUACACUAUAUUUACAAUCAUUAUAGACCUACCUGGCAGACCAAAAAAUCAGAUCUCUCAAAACAUCUGGACAGCAAUCAAAGCACACUGCUAAGCAGUUUUUUCCCAUGCCCUUUCCCACUCAUUUGCUGUUAAAGAAAGGAUGCAAAAAAAAAUUCUUAACAUACAGGUUUAUGUUUCAGGAGUUACAGCAUGCUCCUCCUUCAGAAAACAUUGCCUCAGUUGCUUAUAAUCUCAUACAGCAGCUAAGAACAGAAUGGCUCCUGAAUGUCUUUUCAUGUUUGCUUACAGAUGACAUUUCCCCUACCAAUUCAUUCUGGAGAGGCUGAGGCACACAGAAAAAAAAUCUGUUACUAUUAUGCAAAUAAACAAGGGUCCAUACUUAUUUAAUUUAGCUUCUUUGUUUCUUGGAAACAGAGUGAUUUUGGCUAGAUGAGACCUUUGGAGGUCAUUUUGUCCACAAUCUCAGCAUGACCAAUUUUGAAGUUAGACCUGACUUCAAAGUUAGCUCACAUUUCUCAAGGCAUUUCAAGCUAUUUUACAAGAGUCAUUAUCAUUUACAUCAUUUACACUGAUGAGUAAAGUAGAAAGGAAGGAAGGAAGACAAAUAACUUUUUGAUACACAAGUUUGGAACAGAGGACUGACUUUUAGCUAAUCUGAAAGAUAAUCCAAGUUUUGUUGUAGAUCUGAAUGUGGCAAGGUUAUCACUCCAUAUCUCAUUUCUCAAGUUUCAUUCUCUUUUUAUUUGGCUAUUUCAAAAAGAAUUCUGUGGUCAGAACAUUCAGUCAGUGGUGUUUUUAAUAAUAUUGUAUUAAAAGAGAGCCUUGUUUUUGUUUUGUCUUUUUUUCUAUUUAUGGAACUGAGGGAGGAGUAUGUAUAAUAAGAAUGAAAUUGUCACUACAGAUUUAUCCUUUUCAAGCACAAUGAAUUAAAUAAGUUUCUUCAAGUUUCUCAUGUAAUCAAAGACAGGUUUUUUUUUAGUUUUGUUUUCUUAUAAAAAAUAAAUGAAAAAAAAAUUACAAUGCUGAACUUGGAUAACAAUGAAUCUUCAUCUUUAAAACUUUUAUUCCUUGUAUGGAGCCUACAAACAAGAACGUCUAUAAACAUAACUGCCAGGAUAAAGCUAAAGGUGAGCCAUAAACUCUUUAUUUCAACAAGAUCUCAGUUACAAAUUAACUUUGUAAUGCUCAGUGUACAGUGUUUAUACCACAUGGUGUUUCAGGAAGUAGAUCCUGUUGCUGUUCUCUGGAGACAUGCGAUGUCAUUCCUCUGCAUUUUUUAAAUCAAUAAUGUGGCAGAGUUAUGGGUAGAGGGGAGUGGGAAGACGAUUGCCAAACUUGAAAACUUGUCGAGGUCUUUGGCAUUGAUAUGAAUAGAGUUUCCUUAGCAUGGUAUGUUGCUCAAGUAAAUUACAUUAAUUUUUUAUUUAAUUUUUUUUUUUUUUUUCAUGUUAGAUCAUAGAAGAGAGGUGCAGAGGUACUGGCAUUCUUUGUGCCAGUUCACAGAUGUCUGUAAGCAUAUAUGUCAAGCUAAGAAUAUAUGAAGUGUAUAGUCUUCCAUACAAAUCCAAUAGCUAUCAUUUUGUAUGAAGUAGAUACAUGUUAAGGCUUUGAAAUGACACCCUUGUAAAGGUAGCUAAAUUGUGCCAGACUUGUGGCUAAAUGUGACACUUUUUUUUUUUUUUCUGUGAACAGCUAAAAUUUGCGUUUUCAUUCAUGUGUACAGUUGCUACCUUCCCCCAGACACCUCUGUGGUAUACAUACAUUUGGAAUGGGAACAAUAGGUUGGGAUAAGAGGAACACUUGAAAUGAACGUAUUUUUAUGGUUCUGAUAAAGGGAUAAGAAUCAUCCCACACACAAUUAACAAGCUGUUAAGCUGCUUCAUUCCCAGUAUAUCCAACCAGAAGGAGCAUCAAUGGGAUCUUCUAUACAUGCACUGACAGAGGAAAAUAUUCACAGCUGUUAUGUGAAUUCAUCAGUGCCAGAAAACACACUGCUGAAUAUAUUCUUAUUAUGUAAGUAUAUGUAUGUUACAGAUUAAAGUUUUUACCUCCAUGUAUCUGGGAAUUUUCCCCUUGUACAGCAAGAAUAUAUCAUCAGGACUGCUUUUCAGCUGCACAUGAGCAACAGAGACAACAGCUGAGAGGCAUUUAACAGCUACCUUGUAAAGUUCACAGAGCUGCACCUGUGUGCUCUGAAGUUCUUCGCGUGGUCUCCACCAGGUAAAUACUUGUAAGUUUGAAUUCUAAGAUAGUAUCCUUGAACUGUGUUUACUUUCACUGAAAUAAAUGUAAAUAGUGAUACUUUUAGCAUGUGAAUUGGUGUCUGCCAAACUGGGUCCAUAACUUCAUAAGACUUUAAAACAGCAUAAAAAAACUGACCAGUUUUAAAACUAACAUAUUAAAAGAAGGAAAGAAGAUGAGGUGUUAAUAUUUAAUUAACAUUGGAUAAAUCCAUUGGAUAGUCACAGUUAGAUGUUCAGCUCUGCAUUUUCCCUGCAUUGGGUGUGACUUAGCAGCAGCACUGUUUUUUGGUCACCAAAAAGUAUAUUUCGACCCAACACUGAUAUUGAAUUACAAACUAAAAAUCUAUUUAAACAAUUAAA
rnacentral:lncRNA from 1 species